GGUGGCUCAAUGGUAGAGCGCUUGCCUUGCAUGCAUGAGGCCCGGGUUAGAUUCCCCAGCACCA
rnacentral:tRNA from 1 species